rnacentral:rRNA from 1 species
CCUACGGGAGGCAGCAGUGAGGAAUAUUGGUCAAUGGACGAGAGUCUGAACCAGCCAAGUCGCGUGAAGGAUGACUGCCCUGUGGGUUGUAAACUUCUUUUAUAUGGGAAUAAAGUGUUCCACGUGUGGCAUUUUGUAUGUACCAUAUGAAUAAGGAUCGGCUAACUCCGUGCCAGCAGCCGCGGUAAUACGGAGGAUCCGAGCGUUAUCCGGAUUUAUUGGGUUUAAAGGGAGCGUAGGUGGAUUGUUAAGUCAGUUGUGAAAGUUUGCGGCUCAACCGUAAAAUUGCAGUUGAAACUGGCAGUCUUGAGUAGAGGAGAGGUGGGCGGAAUGCGUGGUGUAGCGGUGAAAUGCUGAGAUAUCACGAAGAACUCCGAUUGCGAAGGCAGUUCACUGGACUGAAACUGACACUGAGGCUCGAAAGUGUGGGUAUCAAACAGGAUUAGAUACCCUAGUAGUC